rnacentral:rRNA from 1 species
UUCUUAUAAAUAUAUCUAUAAGUAAAAUCUGCUCAAUGAUAUUUUUAAUAGCCGCAGAAAUUUUACUGUGCUAAGGUAGCAUAAUCAUUAGUUUCUUAAUUAGAAUCUAGAAUGAAAGAUUUAACAAUUUAAUUUCUUUUUUAAACCUACAAUAUUAAACUUAUACUAAAAAUAAAAAUAUUUUUAUUCAUUAAAAAGACGAUAAGACCCUAUUAAAUUUUACUAUAGUUUAGCUGGGGCAGCUAAUUAAAAAUAAUUUUAAUUUUAAAUAAUUUAAUAAAUUCCUAAUAUAAUUAAAUUUAACAAAUUACUAUAGGGAUAACAGCAUAAUUAUUUUUUAAAGUUCUUAUUAAAAAUAUAGUUUAUGACCUCGAUGUUGAAUUAAUUUACUUUUAUAAGCAAAAAUAUAAAAAGAGGGUCUGUUCGACCCAUAAUAUUUUACA